GUGAUGAUGAAGAAGAUGUGAUGCGUAAACUCCGCCCAUCAGCCUCCAUCUGAACAGCAGCUCUCACAUCGAGCGCAACAUCGCUGUUUUAUCGCUCGUUUUGGGGGCCGAUGCUUGUCAUGCCGUCUCCGUCAGACAUCGUGAAGGUGGCCAUCGAGUGGCCUGGUGCAAACGCUCAACUCAUCGAAAUCGACCAGAAGAAGCCGCUGGCGUCCGUCGUUAGAGAAGUGUGUGAUGGGUAAGUCAGUCUCU